ACAAUGAAGAGUUUGAUCCUGGCUCAGGAUGAACGCUAGCUACAGGCUUAACACAUGCAAGUCGAGGGGCAUCGGGAAGAAAGCUUGCUUUCUUUGCCGGCGACCGGCGCACGGGUGAGUAACACGUAUCCAACCUGCCCUUUACUCGGGGAUAGCCUUUCGAAAGAAAGAUUAAUACCCGAU
rnacentral:rRNA from 1 species